rnacentral:antisense_RNA from 1 species
AAAUGCCAUCCCAAUUCCCCUGAUGUUAAAAGAAACAUACAGUCUAUUCACUGGUUUUGCAAAAAACACUAACCUACAAACCCUUCUGGGCCAACAAGCUUGAGUGCGAUCCGGUCUGCAAUGAUGGAGGAAUUGCCAUGUGCGAUGUUGGCAAACGGGCCAGCAUGGACAAACACUGGAGUGCCCUGUGGAAACCAGGACACCGUGAGCUGAGCUGCCAAUCCUGCUUCAGAGUGGGAUCACACACUCAACGGUAUGGAAUUGGUUUAGAAUCGGAAGGAAGAAUACUUCCCAGAGGGAAAAUACAAAGUCAUCUCUUUUAUUUCAGUAACGUCCCAGUCACAGGUGUGAGGAAGAAUGAGAAGAAAGAGAUGAGCAAGUGGAGAAGGUCUUGACUACCCAGGUUAAGUGUGCUUUAUAACCACUCUGCUCUGACUGUCCAAAACCAAUUCAAGAAGGCAGGAGUCACUCUGCUCACCUCCAGUGUCUGCAUGAGAUUGGGCUUGAUUGCGUCCUUCAUAAGCACUGUCAGUGCACCACUCACCCCCUACAAAACAAAUGUGUGCAGCAUCAACUCCCACCAGCAAAAUAAACCAACCUUCUGAAACCAAUAUUUGACAUUCUAGGCUUACCCAUGUUAGCCAUCUUGGACCAGUUGAUACUUUCACCUGAAUUGGACCAUUCAUGGUUUUUUUCUAGAUAUGCUAUGAAGUUGCCAAUUAUUUAUUUAUUUUUUUUUUGAGACGGAGUCUCGCUCUGUUGCCCAGGCUGGAGUGCAGUGGUGCAAUCUCAGCUCACUGCAAGCUCCACCUCCCGGGUUCACGCCAUUCUCCUGCCUCAGCCUCCCGAGUAGCUGGGACUACGGGCACCCGCCACUAUGCCUGGCUAAUUUUUUUGUAUUUUUAGUAGAGACAGGGUUUCACUGUGUUAGCCAGGAUGGUCUCAAUCUCCUGACCUCGUGAUCCACCUGCCUCGGCCUCCCAAAGUGCUGGGAUUACAGGCGUGAGCCACCGCGCCUGGCCAAAGUUGCCAGAUAGAAUAAAAAUGACAUUCACAUGUAAUAUCUGGAAAAACAUGUAACUCUGGAAACAAGCAUCUUAAUCAAGCUCUGCUGCUGACUGAUGUGAGAAAUCCAUUCGAGACUAGUUUAGAGCACGGCAAUGCUCGUUCCCAGAGUACUCAGUUAUUUGUAACUCUGGUAUCUGGGCAGAAAUUAUUUCUAUAAAUACCAAACUCAAUAUGUGUCUUCCAAAGCUGAAACUGCAAUAUUAUGCAAGAGUUCAAUACCAACUUUUAACAUCAGGUCACUUUAUUAAGCCAUCAAAGUGUAGCUGAACUAACUAGCAACAAAGAUAAAGCAAUGGUACUCUUGAUGUUCCCUGCAAAUUGAAGUCAUACACUCACUUUUAGAGAUGCCCACAGGAUGAAGAUGUUACUCAAAUCAUCUGGAACUUGUGAUCUAUUACUAAAGCAUACCAGCCAUUAUUCACUCUGAUGUACUUUUUAAACAUUUCAUAAUUAUCUUGUAAUUAGCAAAAUAGGAUUAAAUUGAUGAAUUAAUUGCAG